rnacentral:rRNA from 1 species
CCGGUUGAUCCUGCCGGAGGGGACCCCUAGCGGGCUCGCACUAAGCCAUGCAAGUCGGCUGGGGGCCAAUCCUGCCCCUGGCGGCGCACGGCUCAGUAAUACACGGUCAACCUACCCUGGGGACCGGGAUAACCUCGGGAAACUGAGGCUAAUCCCGGAUAGGAGCAGGGUACUGGAAUGUCCCUGCUCCGAAAGUAGGCGGGGGGGUAGCCCCGCUGAGGCCCCAGGAUGGGACCGUGGCCUAUCAGGUAGUAGGUGGGGUAACGGCCCACCUAGCCUAAGACGGGUGCGGGCGGUGGGAGCCGGAGCCCGGAGAUGGGCACUGAGACAAGGGCCCAGGCCCUAAGGGGCGCAGCAGGCGGGAAACUUCUGCAAUGCGCGAAAGCGUGACGGAGUGAGCCCGCGUGCCGCCCGCUGAGGGCGGCUGUCCCCGGGUGUAAACAGCCCGGGACAGGAAGGGGAGGGCAAGGCUGGUGCCAGCCGCCGCGGUAA